GCAGCCCUGUAGCUGCAGCCCUGUAGGUGCAGCCCUGUAGGUGCAGCCUCUGGCUCUGCAGACACAUACUAUUAGAGCAUCUGUUCCUGCAGAUCUUUGACUCUCCAUCAGAGAUCCACGAGAGGGAGCAGCUCACUGUGGAUGUUUUUCCAGCUCAGAUGUGUGUUUGAAGGCUGACUGUGUGUUUUGUCUUCCUUGUCGUCUUCCUGCUGUUUUGUCAGCCUCCACUACUCCAGGUGUGGGAGGGGAACCUGUAUUCGCUCUGAUUGCUCCAGUGGCUGCUAUUUUUGGAAGCACUCUGUCUUUUAUCUCCCCUCUUUUUGUCUCUCACGUUUUUCUUCGGUGCUGCAAAGCGACACUAACCGGAAUCAGCUAUAGAAGAAAGGCAGAGAUAAUUCGUGAUCGAAGUCGCUGCUCUUUUCAUCAAAUCGAGGCUGGAAACCUCCUGGAUGAAUCGAAUGGAUUGUCUUUUGUAUUUCUGGUGCCUGUUGCGUCUAAAAGGUCUGACAACAGCAGAGGAAAGAGCAUUUUGUUCUGUGAGUUUGGACAAAAAGAGCAAAUGUUCAUGAUGAUCUUUUAUGUUUUUAUUUUUCUGCUGAUAUAAUAAUUUCUUGUUUUC
ensembl:lncRNA